rnacentral:lncRNA from 1 species
GGAAUGUUGUAAUUAAACCCAGUGAAUAAAGGCAAAACAAAUGGCUACAGCCUUAAUUUUGCACAGUACAUUUCAGAUGUGUGGCUGUGGCUUUGCUGCACUUUUAUGUUUUACUUUGAGGGACACAUCCGGAGAGGAAACGUGUUGUGUGAGGUUGAACUUUACAAGAGAGAGAGAGAGAGAGAGAGAGAGAGAGAGAGAGAGAGAGAGAGAGAGAGAGAGAGAGAGAGAGAGAGAGAGAGUCGACAGAUAGGCGGCCCACAAACUUCAUUUCGGACAUUAGAGCUUUAUCAGGACAGAGUGUGUGUGUUCGGAGCUUCUCUUUUACACCAUGAGAGACUCGACACACCACAGACACACUGUAAAAGGCUGAGGGCGGAAGUGAGAGGAGGGGGAAGUGGUGAGAAGGAGGAAGGAAAAAGAGGAUUAAUAAACCCUGAAAGAAGUCAUUUUCCCUCUGUCAAGUUGAAGUCCGGACCGCUGUGGAGGGAGGAGGGCUCCUGUGUGUUUCCAGGGGGGAAUGGACACCCACGUCAAGGAGGGACAGCUUUAUGUGCAGCAUCAGAAGUUUGGGAAGUUGAACGUCGGCGUCGUUCACCCCCGUGGCAGAACGUCGGAGGCGGGCCACACCCUGGACAGAUCACCAGCUCAUCACAAGCAGAGUCGACG